AAAUCUCUCACCUUCUUUUCCUUUUUUUGGGACAAGGGACUUGGAGAAGCAGUUGAUGUUGAUCCACCACAAAGACGUACACAUGCCUCUAAAUAAACAGCCCAGACUGGCUUACGCCGACGACGAUUGUGCUGACGACAGAGAUUUAGCCGGCAAAGGUGGUCAGGCUUCCAAGGAAAUCAGACAUAGGCUAUACCAUGUUUAAAAUUCAUGGAAACACAAUUACAUUGCAUCCAUGCCUAUUUCUUGCGAGAAGAUUGACAUAGUUUAAUUAGAUUAAGACUGACAUAGUUUGCUUAACCAGAUUUGAAAAAACCCACACGUUACUGAUGUAAGAUAAAAAACAAUCCAACAAGGAACACUGCCCAAAGAUUGAAGGGAGGAAUUUGUUAACUGUUGUUGAUCUUAAUUUUACCUUCACACUCCAUCUCAUCUUUCUCUUUUUUCAGUAUCUAAUUGGCAUGGUUUUGCAAUUUAUGACUCCGGCUACGAGGAAGAUUUUUCACAGUGGUCAGGAUGUUUCAGGCUUUACAACAUUUCAAGCACACUCCUAAAGUCGGGAAUUCUCC
rnacentral:sRNA from 1 species